rnacentral:lncRNA from 1 species
GGAAUUCUUUCUUUUCAGCUGCUUCCUACUCUGUUGCUUACAUUCACUCCGCACGUUUCCUGCAGAUUAACCUUCACUUCAAAAAUGUAAGUGAUUACAUGCACUUCUUUUUCCCAAAAUUAACUACCAUACACUCCGUAUUCAUCAUUCAAGGGGGUAUCGUAUUUUUUAUUAAUACAUUUGAAAUAAAUCCAAACACCUGUCUUGCAUUUU